GGGCCCGCACAAGCGGUGGAGCAUGUGGUUUAAUUCGAUGAUACGCGAGGAACCUUACCAGGGCUUAAAUGUACGUUGCAUGAUUUAGAGAUAGAUCUUUCUUCGGACUACGUACAAGGUGCUGCAUGGUUGUCGUCAGCUCGUGCCGUGAGGUGUCAGGUUAAGUCCUAUAACGAGCGCAACCCCUGUCGUUAGUUACCAGCAAGUAAUGUUGGGUACUCUAGCGAGACUGCCGGUGCAAACCGCGAGGAAGGUGGGGAUGACGUCAAAUCAUCACGGCCCUUACGUCCUGGGCCACACACGUGCUACAAUGGCCGGUACAGAGAGCAGCCACUACGCGAGUAGGAGCGAAAUCUUCAAAAACCGGUCUCAGUUCGGAUCGCAGUCUGCAACUCGACUGCGUGAAGCUGGAAUCGCUAGUAAUCG
rnacentral:rRNA from 1 species